rnacentral:rRNA from 1 species
GACGAACGCUGGCGGCGUGCUUAACACACGCAAGUCGAACGGAAAGGCCCUGCUUUUUUGGGGUGCUCUAGUUGCGAACGGGUGAGUAACCCGUGGGUAACCUGCCCUUGACUUUGGGAUAAGUUCAGGCAGCUGGGGCUAAUACCGGCUAGGAGCUCCUGCUGCAUGGUGGGGGUUGGAAAGUUUCGGCGGUUGGGGGUGGACUCGCGGAUUAUCAGCUUGUUGGUGGGGUAGUGACUUACCAAGGCUUUGACGGGUAGCCGGCCUGAGAGGGUGACCGGACACAUUGGGACUGAGAUACGGCCCAGACCCCUACGGGAGGCAGCAGUGGGGAAUAUUGCACAAUGGGCGGAAGCCUAAUGCAGCAACGCCGCGCGCGGGAUGACGGCAAUCGGGUUGUAAACCGCUUUCGCCUGUGACGAAGCGUGAGUGACGGUAAUGGGUAAAGAAGCACCGGCUAACUACGUG